rnacentral:misc_RNA from 1 species
AAGGUAGCCGUAUCGGAAGGUGCGGCUGGAUCACCUCCUUUUGAGUAUGGUGAAUAUAAUUGUCUUAUCAGGCGUCCUCACAAGUUACUUGCAUUCAGGGUUUGAUGUUGGCAUAGGUUUGGGUUUAUGUUGGCGAUUUUUGUUCUGGGGGCCUUAGCUCAGCUGGUAGAGCACCUGCUUUGCAAGCAGGGGGUCGUCGGUUCGAUCCCGACAGGCUCCACCAUGAAAGUAUUUAUGGGUCUGUAGCUCAGGUGGUUAGAGCGCACCCCUGAUAAGGGUGAGGUCGGUGGUUCGAGUCCUCCCAGACCCACCAAUGUUAUAUCAAUUAUUCUGAAUGUGGUUUGCGCAUUUUUUAUGCUUAUCAGCCUUGGAGCUGUGAAGCGUUCUUUUAUAAUUUGAUGAUGUAGCAAGCGUUUGAACUUUUUAUUAAUAAUUUCUCAUUGGAAGCCUUAAGUGACAAUGUUUAUCCAUUGUCUUGUAGAUUUUGAGGCGACUUUGGGUUAUAUGGUCAAGCGAAUAAGCGCACACGG